AUUCCAGCUCCAAUAGCGUAUAUUAAAGUUGUUGCAGUUAAAAAGCUCGUAGUUGGAUUUCUGACAGGGGGCCGAACACCACUGUAGUGAGUGUUUUGGUACCUGUCAUCCUUCUGUUAACCCUAGCGUCAUUCAUUUGUCGUUGGGCGGACCAGAUACUUUACCUUGAGAAAAUUGGAGUGUUUCAGGCAGGCCUAGCCGGAAUACAUUAGCAUGGAAUAAUGGAAUAGGACUAUAGUCUCGUCGUUGGUUACGUGGACUGCAGUAAUGAUUAAUAGGGAUAGUUGGGGGCAUUAGUAUUUAUUAGCUAGAGGUGGAAUUCUCUAAUUUGAUAAAGACUAACUUAUGCGAAAGCAUUUGCCAAGGAUGUUUUCAUCG
rnacentral:rRNA from 1 species